rnacentral:ncRNA from 2 species
AUUAAUGAAUAGGGGUGCUGGUUCUGCCGGCUGAGAGUAAGGGUUUUCCCUUCAACCCAUAACCUGAUCUGGGUAAUGCCAGCGUAGGAAAUGAGUAGAUAAUCUAA